UACGGAGGGUGCGAGCGUUGUCCGGAAUCACUGGGCGUAAAGGGCGCGUAGGCGGCCUGAUAAGUAGGGGUGAAAUCUUGCGGCUUAACCGCAAGGCUGCCUUCUAAACUGUCAGGCUAGAGCACAGUAGAGGCAGGUGGAAUUCCCGGUGUAGCGGUGGAAUGCGUAGAGAUCGGGAAGAACAUCAGUGGCGAAGGCGGCCUGCUGGGCUGUUGCUGACGCUGAGGCGCGACAGCGUGGGGAAGCAAACAGG
rnacentral:rRNA from 1 species